rnacentral:rRNA from 1 species
AGCGAACGCUGGCGGCAGGCCUAACACAUGCAAGUCGAACGAAGCCUUCGGGCUUAGUGGCGGACGGGUGAGUAACACGUGGGAACGUACCUUUAGGUUCGGAACGACUCAGGGAAACUUGAGCUCAUACCGGAUCAGCCCUUCGGGGGAAAGAUUUAUCGCCUUUAGAGCGGCCCGCGUUAGAUUAGCUAGUUGGUGAGGUAAAGGCUCACCAAGGCUACGAUCUAUAGCUGGUCUGAGAGGAUGAUCAGCCACACUGGGACUGAGACACGGCCCAGACUCCUACGGGAGGCAGCAGUGGGGAAUCUUGCGCAAUGGGCGAAAGCCUGACGCAGCCAUGCCGCGUGAAUGAUGAAGGUCUUAGGAUUGUAAAAUUCUUUUACCAGGGACGAUAAUGGCGGUACCUGGAGAAAAAGCCCCGGCUAACUUCGUGCCAGCAGCCGCCGUAA